rnacentral:rRNA from 1 species
GGGGGCAACCCUGAUCCAGCCAUGCCGCGUGAGUGAAGAAGGCCUUCGGGUUGUAAAGCUCUUUCGUGGGGAGCGAAACGGUCUGGAUUAACACUCCAGAUUACUGACGGUACCCCAAGAAGAAGCACCGGCUAACUACGUGCCAGCAGCCGCGGUAAUACGUAGGGUGCGAGCGUUAAUCGGAAUUACUGGGCGUAAAGCGUGUGUAGGUGGUUUUGUAAGUCAGAUGUGAAAUCCCUGGGCUUAACCUGGGAACUGCGUUUGAAACUGCGAGACUAGAGUGUAGCAGAGGGGGGUGGAAUUCCACGUGUAGCAGUGAAAUGCGUAGAGAUGUGGAGGAACACCGAUGGCGAAGGCAGCCCCCUGGGUUAACACUGACGCUCAAACACGAAAGCGUGGGGAGCAAACAGGAUUAGAUACCCUGGUAGUCCACGCCCUAAACGAUGUCAACUAGUUGUUGGGAAAGGAGACUUUCUUAGUAACGCAGCUAACGCGCGAAGUUGACCGCCUGGGGAGUAC